rnacentral:rRNA from 1 species
UACGUAGGGUGCGAGCGUUGUCCGGAAUUAUUGGGCGUAAAGCGCUCGUAGGCGGUCUGUCACGUCGGCUGUGAAAGCCCGAGGCUCAACCUCGGGCCGGCAGUCGAUACGGGCAAACUAGAGUACUGCAGGGGAGACUGGAAUUCCUGGUGUAGCGGUGAAAUGCGCAGAUAUCAGGAGGAACACCGGUGGCGAAGGCGGGUCGCUGGGCAGUAACUGACGCUGAGGAGCGAAAGCGUGGGGAGCGAACAGG